AACAGUGUGGCCUAGUGGAUAGAGCACUGGAGUGGGACUCAGAAGACCUGGGUUCUAUUCCCAGCUCUGCCA
rnacentral:tRNA from 1 species